rnacentral:tRNA from 1 species
GGGAAUGUGGCUUAGUGGUAGAGUGCUUGCGUAGCAUGCAUGAAGCACCAGGUUCAAUUCCUCAGUACCA